UCAAAGCAAAACGUUUUCUGG
rnacentral:piRNA from 1 species